ACGGCAGCACGGGAGCAAUCCUGGUGGCGAGUGGCGAACGGGUGAGUAAUAUAUCGGAACGUGCCCAGUCGUGGGGGAUAACGCAGCGAAAGCUGUGCUAAUACCGCAUACGAUCUCUGGAUGAAAGCGGGGGACCUUCGGGCCUCGCGCGAUUGGAGCGGCCGAUAUCAGAUUAGCUAGUUGGUGGGGUAAAAGCUCACCAAGGCGACGAUCUGUAGCUGGUCUGAGAGGACGACCAGCCACACUGGAACUGAGACACGGUCCAGACUCCUACGGGAGGCAGCAGUGGGGAAUUUUGGACAAUGGGCGCAAGCCUGAUCCAGCAAUGCCGCGUGCAGGAUGAAGGCCUUCGGGUUGUAAACUGCUUUUGUACGGAACGAAACGGCUCUUUCUAAUAAAGAGGGCUAAUGACGGUACCGUAAGAAUAAGCACCGGCUAACUACGUGCCAGCAGCCGCGGUAAU
rnacentral:rRNA from 1 species